rnacentral:rRNA from 1 species
UUUCGAAUUAUUCACAAUGGGCGAAAGCCUGAUGGUGCGACGCCGCGUGAGGGAUGAAGGUCUUCGGAUUGUAAACCUCUGUCACCGGGGAAGAAUGGCUAUGACCUAACACGUCAUGGAUUGACUUAACCCGGAGAGGAAGCAGUGGCUAACUCUGUGCCAGCAGCCGCGGUAAUACAGAGACUGCAAGCGUUAUUCGGAUUCACUGGGCGUAAAGGGUGCGCAGGCGGUUGCGUGUGUUGGAUGUGAAAGCCUGGGGCUCAACCCCAGAAUUGCGUCCAAAACUACGCGACUAGAGUACCGGAGAGGAUAGCGGAAUUCACGGUGUAGCAGUGAAAUGCGUAGAUAUCGUGAAGAACACCAGCGGCGAAGGCGGCUAUCUGGAAGGUAACUGACGCUCAGGCACGAAAGCGUGGGGAGCAAAAG